rnacentral:rRNA from 1 species
GAAUAUUGGUCAAUGGGCGAGAGCCUGAACCAGCCAUGCCGCGUGCAGGAAGACGGCCUUCUGGGUUGUAAACUGCUUUUAUCAGGGAACAAAAAGCUCCUGCGGGAGAAAUUGCGUGUACCUGAAGAAUAAGGACCGGCUAACUCCGUGCCAGCAGCCGCGGUAAUACGGAGGGUCCAAGCGUUGUCCGGAUUUAUUGGGUUUAAAGGGUGCGUAGGCGGCCUUAUAAGUCAGUGGUGAAAUCCUUCGGCUCAACCGGAGAACUGCCAUUGAUACUGUAAGGCUUGAGUACAGACGAGGUAGGCGGAAUUUAUGGUGUAGCGGUGAAAUGCAUAGAUACCAUAAAGAACACCUAUUGCGAAGGCAGCUUACUAGACUGUAACUGACGCUGAGGCACGAAAGCGUGGGGAGCGAACAGG